GACGAACGCUGGCGGCGUGCUUAACACAUGCAAGUCGAACGGAAAGGCCCUGCUUUUGUGGGGUGCUCGAGUGGCGAACGGGUGAGUAACACGUGAGUAACCUGCCCUUGACUUUGGGAUAACUUCAGGAAACUGGGGCUAAUACCGGAUAGGAGCUCCUGCUGCAUGGUGGGGGUUGGAAAGUUUCGGCGGUUGGGGAUGGACUCGCGGCUUAUCAGCUUGUUGGUGGGGUAGUGGCUUACCAAGGCUUUGACGGGUAGCCGGCCUGAGAGGGUGACCGGCCACAUUGGGACUGAGAUACGGCCCCGACUCCUACGGGAGGCAGGAGGGGGGAAAAUUGCACCAUGGGCGGAAGCCCGAUGCAGCAACGCCGGGUGCGGGAUGACGGCCUUCGGGUUGUAAACCGCUUUCGCCUGUGACGAAGCGUGAGUGACGGUAAUGGGUAAAGAAGCACCGGCUAACUACGUG
rnacentral:rRNA from 1 species